UAGCCUAACGGCUGAACCAGCAACUUGGAGGAAUGAAUAGCAAUAGCUAAUUGCAUCAGUUAUAUCUUGAUGCAGUAUCGAUUUUAUCGAAUAAAAUUCUAGGUAGAAUUAUGAUGAUGACAUUGUCUACCUAUGUGUCUUGACCAAAUUACGUGCCAGCAGUCGCGGUAAUACGUAGAAGACUAGUGUUAUUCAUCUUUAAUAGGUUUAAAGGGUACCUAGACGGUGAAUCAAGCCUGCAAAUAGGGACUAAUUUACUAGAGUUACUUGUGAGGGGGCAUUAAAGUACUGCUGGUGUAGAGAUGAAAUUCUAUAAUACCUUUUCCUCAAGAAAUAAUGGCACAGGUAUAGGCGAAAGCAUCCCCUUAUGUGAUAACUGACGUUGAAGGACGAAGGCUUUGUGUAGCAAACAGGAUUAGAUACCCUGGUAGUCGAAGCAGAAAAUGAUGAAUGUCAUAGAUUAGACGUAGUUUAUUCUAUAAAUGAAAGUGUAAGCAUUCCACCUCGAGAGUAAUUUGGCAACAUUGGAACUGAAAUCAUUAGACCGUUUCUGAAACCAGUAGUGAAGUAUGUUGUUUAAUUUGAUACUCCGCAAAGAACCUUACCACAAUUUGAAUAUUUAUAUAUAUACUUUUUAUUUCGCUUUUAUUAUUUUUUUAUUUACCUAGUUGUGGAAGAGAAAAAUAAGAAAAAGUUUAAAAAGUAAAAACAUAUUUACAAGCGUUGCACGGCUGUCUUCAGUUAAUGUCGCGAGACUUUGGUUAGAUCCAUUAAAUUAACGCAAACCCUUACUUUAUUUUUACAUAAAGUAGUUCCCCACUAGAUUGGAUAAGAUAACAGGGACUAAGACAAGUCAUCAUGGCCUUAAUAUUGUGGGCUAUAGACGUGCCACAUAGACCUUACAAAAGGAUGUGAAAUUGUGAAAUUGAACUAAUCCCCCAAAAAUGGAUAUACAC
rnacentral:rRNA from 1 species